GGGGCGGGGCAGCUACAAUUAAGUUUGGGCGGCCUAAUUUGAAGAACCGAACGGACGGAGCUGAGGAGGCAUUUGGUGUUUAGUUUGCAUUGCACUAUUCGGGAAAAAGUGUCACGAAAUUAUAGGCCAUAUAGACCGGUUUGUGUAGGCUACCAGGCGGCCUUUUGGAGGGGUAGCUCCCCUCGUGAAAUAGUUUGGUUAAAACCGUUUUUCUCUGUUCGUGGGAAGGACUCUUAGAGAAACACCUGCAAACUCUUCUCCAUCAGUGUGCUGCCUCGCCAUUGCGUGCAUUUGUUUUUUUCUUGUUGGUUAUUCGUUCGUUUUAAUUUUCAAUAAAUUUAAUAAACGGAAAGGAGAAACAAGACAUAGCAGCGCCGGACAGGAGGCCUGGAGGCAGUGCUGGCCCAGCCCUACACGGACAUCUUCCUCCGCAGAAGAAUCGGAAAGCCCCUUCACUGCCCAGCCCGGGGAUAGCAGCUGAAAGAAUGAAGCUCUGACACUGCGUGGGACUGAAUGGACACGAGAGCACAGCUAAGCACAGAAAAAGAAAUGCUGACCUUGUGAGUGUGACCUCAGACGCCAGAGGAGCCAG